AAGGAUUUAAGUUAAUUAAACUCUUAACCUUCAAAGUUAAAAAUAGAAAAAUCUAACCCUUA
rnacentral:tRNA from 1 species